CUUUUUUGUUGCUACUUCCCACACUGAAUUCUUGUUUUACUGAAUUUUCUUACUAUAAAAAUAAAGCAUGAUGGUAGUUUUAAAAACAAAACAGGAGUAUUGGAGAAGUACAGACCCCACUCCCAAUCCUUAUCUCCUUUCUGGCACUCUGCCCCUUAGCUAUACUGGAACAGGUAAUCAACUGCAGUGAAAAUCCUGGAGGCUGAGGAACUAGAGGUGGAGCAAGGGAAGAGUGUCCAGUAGCCCAGAAAAGGAUGAAACAAUUCCCCAACAAAAAAGUAGAAAGCGAACAUUUUCAAUAGCCCUCAGAGAAGAUGCAGCCCCUCCGCAGUAACCACAGAAAGGCAAUUUCUGAAAGCAGGGAGAAGGGGCUACUUUGGGCCUCCAGGACUACAAAGACAAAAAAAAGGAGUGACGGGACCUGAUGUGGUGGGGUGAGAUGGGAGUGAGGGUAAAGGAAGGGGCUCGUACUCUUAGUGGGAGUGGAAACUGGGGACCCAAGCUUACUGGUGAUGCAAACCUCACGUGACCAGGAGCUGACGUGGGCAAAGGUACUUAAAGCCCUGACCGCCGUUCUCCGUCCUCCUCUGGGUACCAACUCUAUUGCGCAGCUCGCUGCCCUGUGAUUAACCUAGGCGAGGAGGAGGAGAAGAAAACAUCCCCAGAUCCGGGCAGGCCCGACCCCACAUCCAGUCCUGUGUUGUGAGAAGAGGGAAGAGAAAUAAACGUGGCAGCGGCACAGGCCAGCGGGGAGGUUGGGAAAGGGGGCGGGGGUGGGGCAUGCAAUUUAGUAACAAUCUGAGCGGUUCAUUCCUACCCUGACCUCCCCCACCACCGCCACCGCACCCUCCCUUCCCCCAGCCGGGCCCUCUGUGCUUUGGGGGUGCUGGGAAAUGCGUGUACUCGCUGCUGUUGGAGAGAUGGCGGGUUUGGCGCUAUCUGGGCUUCACGGGAGGCGGAGGUGGGGGAACCUGAGAGAAUCUGGUAUUAAACCACCUUGUUAACUCGCAGACUGCUUUCCAGACACCUCCGGCCCACACAGCUGUUCACCCCCGUCUUUUCAGUCCUGGAAAAGGAAUUCGGGUCUGUCUUCCUUUUGGCCUCUGUGAAACUACAGCUACAGUGGGAAAAAGCAAAGCAAUCUUGAUCCCAGGAGGUUGGCCCUGCUUAAGCCUCAGCAGAACUUGUAAGCCUAAACUGAAGAGCCUCACCCGGAGGAGCAGGCAUCCCUUAACCUUAACCAAGCCAAUUCCACCCUCUGGAUCAG
rnacentral:lncRNA from 13 species